GACGAACGCUGGCGGCGUGCUUAACACAUGCAAGUCGAACGGAAAGGCCCUGCUUUUGUGGGGUGCUCGAGUGGCGAACGGGUGAGUAACACGUGAGUAACCUGCCCUUGACUUUGGGAUAACUUCAGGAAACUGGGGCUAAUACCGGAUAGGAGCUCCUGCUGCAUGGUGGGGGUUGGAAAUUUUCGGCGGUUGGGGAUGGACUGGCGGGUUAUCAGCUUGUUGGUGGGGUAGUGGCUUACCAAGGGUUCGACGGGUAGCCGGCCUGAGAGGGUGACCGGCCACAUUACGACUGAGAUACGGCCCAGACUCCAACGUGAGGCAGCAGUGGGAAAUAUUGCACAAUGGGCGGGAGCCUGAUGCAGCAACGCCGCGUGCGGGAUGACGGCCUUCGGGUGGUGAACCGCUUUCGCCUGUGACGAAGCGUGAGUGACGGUAAUGGGUAAAGAAGCACCGGCUAACUACGUG
rnacentral:rRNA from 1 species